UUACGUUAAAAUUAAAAUUUCAAAAUUCAAAAAAUAUAGAGACUAAUAAUGAUCUAAUUCAAGAACAUAGACUAAAUCUACAACUUUAGGCAUAGUACAAGACUAAUAGUAAAGUUUAACCAAAUGGAUUUAACUACUACCAUUUGGUUUGGAUUGAAAUUUUAAAAUUUGAAAAGUGUAAGGACUAAAAAUUGACCAAAUUAAAGUAUAGAGACUAAAUUCACAACUUAUCAGAGUACAUGGACUAAUAGCAGAAUUUCAACCUUUUGUCAUUUCCGUGCUUCUCCGGAAGCAAAACGUAGAGGGAGAAACAGAGGAAUAUCCAAUAUCGGAGCCCAAGUUCAGAGCAAAACUGGCAGCAAACUUUUUGUGGGCUGCUUUAGAAAUAUGUUAAAAGCAAAGAUCAAAUGGUGCUGAACCACAUUUCAAAAACAAACAAAAAAAAGAGCCCAAAUCUAUCUUUAUCCUUCUUCUCCGGUCCUCGUAUUUUACAUGGAAAUGAUGGCACCAAAAGAAAAUAUAUGAACCAAUAUCCCUUCUAGUAAUGUCUAU
rnacentral:lncRNA from 1 species